rnacentral:rRNA from 1 species
AUUGAACGCUGGCGGCAGGCCUAACACAUGCAAGUCGAACGGAGCGGCGGACGGGGGAGUAAGGCCUAGGAAUCUGCCUGGUAGCGGGGGAUAACGUCAGGAAACGGGCGCUAAUACCACAUCCUAUCAGCUUAGCCUAGGUCGGAUUAGCUAUUGGGUGGGGUAAAGGCCUACCAAGGCGACGACCCGUAGCUGGUCCGAGAGGAUGAUCAGUCACACUGGAACUGAGACACGGUCAAGACUCCUACGGGAGGCAGCAGUGGGGAAUAUUGGACAAUGGGCGAAAGCCUGAUGCAGACAUGCCGCGUGUGUGAAGAAGGUCUUCGGAUUGUAAAGUACUUUAAGUUGGGAGGCGUUACCAACAGAAUAAGCACCGGCUAACUCCGUGCCAGCAGCCGCGGUAAUUC